rnacentral:rRNA from 1 species
UACGUAGGGGGCAAGCGUUGUCCGGAAUUACUGGGCGUAAAGCGCGUGUAGGCGGGGACGACAAGUCCGGCGUGAAAGGCUUGGGCUCGAACCCGAGAUGGCCGUUGGAACUGUCGUUCUUGAGGGUCGAAGAGGAGAGUGGAAUUCCUGGUGUAGCGGUGAAAUGCGUAGAGAUCAGGAGGAACACCCAUGGCGAAGGCAGCUCUCUGGUCGACCUCUGACGCUGAGACGCGAAAGCGUGGGGAGCGAACGGG